UACAGAGGCCUCGAGCGUUAGGCGGAAUCACUGGGCUUAAAGCGUGUGUAGGCGGACGUCUAAGUACCUUGUGAAAUCCCACGGCUCAACCGUGGAACUGCUGGGUAUACUGGUUGUCUUGAGCCAGCUAGGGGCGAGCGGAACAGACGGUGGAGCGGUGAAAUGCGUAGAUAUCGUCUGGAACGCCGAAGGUGAAAACAGCUCGCUGGGGCUGCGCUGACGCUGAGACACGAAAGCCAGGGGAGCGAACGGG
rnacentral:rRNA from 1 species